rnacentral:tRNA from 2 species
UGCUGAGGUAGUCUAGCGGUACGGCGCAGGCCUGGAGAGCCUGUGGGGCUUCGGCCCCUCGGGAGUUCAAUUCUCCCCCUCAGCGU